CUGAUCGAACGAUGAGGGAAACCUUUCUUCAAUAUAACCCCUUCAACCCUUCGGAGUUCAAACCAAAUCUCGAUCUGCAGGUUUCUCCCAUCGAUCAUCUCCCUCUCCGUCUCCGUCUCCGUCUCCGUCUCCGUCUCCAUUCCUAAACAAGAUCUACUUUUUCCUCCUCUUCUUCUAAUUUUCGAUCUCUCUCCUCUUAGUGUUUUCAAUCUUCUGGGUGACUGUUUCAGUAAGGAUAAGAUCGUCUCCCAUCACUUGUCAGCUAGGGAUGGCCGAUUCGUCGUCGUUUUGGAGAAAUCGUGCUAUAUUCAGUUCGAGUACUUGGUGUACUACGAGAGCCGCAUCACCGGAAAGCUGAGCUACGGCGCGAUCCGAAUCUGAAGGGCAUUCAGGUACAAAGAUUGUUCUUUUGGUUCGUCGUGGAUGAGAUCAGGGUCGAUUUGCCGCCGGCCGAUAGUAUUUACUUCACCGUUGGGAUCAUCAACAAAAGCUCGAUGUCGAUCAGUUCCAGAAUGUUCAUUCUUGUCGGGACGGGCUUUCGGGUACGGAGAUGAAAACCAGGGGUUGCAUAUCUUGUCUUCACACGCAAGGGAAAGACAUUUCACCUUGCCAUAUUUGUGAUUCCAAGGAAAGCCUGACAAGUGAAAAUGUGUGAUCAAACAUUGCUUGCUGUGGCUAAUAUCUUUUUGAGAAGUUCUCUGUGUAUGAACUAUGAAGUAAAUAGAAGCAAAUCGGAAGGUUAUCUACUGAUGCAUUAUUACAAUUAUCCUCCAAACUUAACGGUUACUGAAGUUUUCAUAGAUAUAGUGUACAAAUCCUCAUCCCCAAUGGGUCCAAGAUUGUUUGAAGCUGCUGAAGCCUUCUACUUGUGUGCAGGGGUCGAUGUUAAAUAUGAAGAGAUAAUUGAAGCAACUUCAAUUGACUCCAGCAAAGUCUUACGGUCCUGCACUGCUCAGUUGCAGCUGCUACUGACAGGAGACUUCUUCGAUGAUAUAUGAUUUAUGUACUGCCAUGAGCCUCCUUGAACAACAGAGGUUAUCCGUAAGGAAGGGUUGCAGCCUUGGGGAGGAAGAGUGAUGGGUUUAUCUGUAAUUUUUUAGUUUGUGUAGUUUGAUACUUUUUAAAAUACAGUAUACAGUACAUUAAUGUAGAGGUGCCAGUUGGCACCUUAUUUUUUUAAUCCAGCUUCAUAAAUUUGCCACUGAUAUCAGUGACAUUCCAAAACCACCAUUACACUGAUAAUGGUUGCUUUGGCACUAAUUGAGAUGUAAUUUUGCCUUGGUUAAAGGUAUGACACUGUUAAAUUAUUGGUGUGUAAUGCCCCAAUAGCACCUGCUAUAGAGGGGACUGAUUCUUCUUUAGUGGCUGCAUAGUGGGAAAUGAGAUUAACCACUCUUAUCAGUGUGUAUUGAGACAAAGGAGACUAAUUCACAUUGGUGUGGAAUGGGGAAAUUUCUAGUAGUGAGUCUACACAUAUUGUUAUGACUAUAAAUGGAAUUCAUAAUUCAGUCCAAUGAGUCUAGUAAAUGGUAGAAGGCAGAAUGAAAGAAAAAAAAAAAGAAGAAAUUUUGAGUUGUUUAGAUUCUUGUAGAUUGUUUUUUAGUGACAUUUUUAUGUACUUUGAGACUCCCCAUAGGUAGUUUUUUCGCUAAACAUUUUAGUACUCGUAUGCAAACCUGAUAUUUGAGUGUAUAUAUGUACUUCACUGCAUGUAUAAGUUAUGAAUUUAUAUUUAAGAGAGUUCUUCUGUUGUGCAGGUUAAUGAUGUUGUUCUUGCAGUGGAUAAUACACUUUUCCUGUUCUUUAGAUACCACCCUCCAGGUUUGUUAUCCUUGACGUUUGUUGUUGGUUUUGUAACCUAUACAUUCUUUUUGAGCUGUUCCUGGUUCGUUUUAUAUUUUGACUUAUUUUUCAUUGAAUUGCACCAGACGAUUACAUGUAUAUCAGAGAUGACCAAUCUGUCUUAUAUCAACAUUUUGACAAUGAAUUGUUGUAUUUACUUAAGAGUGCUGGGUUGAAAGCUUUUUGCAGUGGUUGCCAGUGGGGACUUAUUUGGCCACUGUACAUAGACAGGGUGCUGCAGUUUGGGGAGGUGCCACCACCGAGUUCAAACGACUAAUGUGUUAUGCUCAUCCACAAGUAGCUUUUGGUUUUCUGGUUUCAACUUAUAGUAUUUCAUAUCCCUGGAGGAAAUGAAUUUGUUGACUCUUUCACUGAUAUCAAUUUACUGAAUACAUUUUGUAUAUGGUGGGAUUUGAGUUAAUUUGAUUGUUUAGAACUUUGUAACAAUUAGACAACAAGAAUAAAUGAAAAGUAUUGUCCAAGAUUUUAUAGCA